UAGCCUAGUGGUUAAGGCUAUGGGUUGCCAAUCCGGAGACGGCGGGUUCGAUUCCCGU
rfam:Aedes albopictus isolate Foshan contig116380, whole genome shotgun sequence.